CGAGGAGGCUGCUUAUUUCCCAGCUUCGACACUGUGCAAAAUUUGGCCAUGCCACAGAAAAAACUGACGGAAAUUAUGAUAAAAUCUUAUCGGCAGCGGAUCGGUAGCAACUGCAACACCGCCAGCCUCAAAGAAAGUCGGAAAACUAAUUUUGGGAAAACGGUGGGGAAAAUGACAACAGCAAAACAAAUAAAACAGCGGAAAUAACGGCAAAAUUUACAGCAGUGCUAAAAAAGAAAUUAAUAAUCGGCAUGUCGAAAAACAAAUAUUUGACGAAAAUUGAAAAAAAAAAUCAAGUCGGUCUAAAAUCACAUCUUACGUGGAUAAAUUCUUUCGUAGAAAUACUACUCCGCCUCCAACAGAUGGCUAUGAAAAUGACGAAAAUCGAAGCGGCAAAAACCGUUCAGUCACAAAUAUAGGCGAGGAGGCUGCUCAUUUCCCAACUUCGACACUAUGCAAAAUGUGGCCACUGAGCUACAGAAAAACUGACGGAAAUUGUGAUAAAAUCUUAUAAGCAGCGGAUCGGUAGCAACUGCAACACCGCUAGCUUCAAAAAAAAGUCGGAAAAUUAAAUUUUGGAAAACGGUGGGGAAAACGAAAACAGUAAAACAAAUAAAACAGCGGAAAAUACGGCCAAAUUACCGCCAAAUUACGGUAAAAUUUACAGCGGUAUUAAAAAAAUUAAUAAAUAAAUAAUCGCCAUGUCGAACAAAAAAGUCGGUGAACAAAAUGACUGGAUUUACGGUAACUAUACAUCGUCAUUUUUAAGACGGUAAUUCUUUUUCCGCAGAACUAUUUACGUGUGCAGGAUGCAUUAGGAAAGAAUACUGCAUUUAGUGUCGACACAUUUUUGUACAUUAUGGGCGGCACGUUGUGUGUGCAUUACAACAAAAUAAUCGUCUGUUUUUAAAAGAAAAUCAUGGAAAACAUUGAAAUAAACAUGCAUGGUAAACACGGGUAAAAUCAUUAAUUUCAAAGGUUUCAGGUAAGCUUAUAUAUUAAACAUAGUUAUUGGCUGCAUUGGAAUGUUUCUCUUCAGUAACAAACGGGCUAGGCCCAGUGUUUUCGUACCCCAGUUCACUUAGGAAAGAGUUGCAGCUUUCAUCGGAGAAAUAUGAGGAUCUAAAAGUGGAGACAGACUGAAUGAGCUAGGCUGCUUUGUCUGGACGAAUAGGACCCUCCAAGGCUCCAACAGCCUCAUCACACAGAAACUCCAGGAACCGGAAGCAGGGAGGAGGACCCACAGAUGAACGGAUGACCUGCUUGCUGGGCUUCCCAUUACUGAUUCUUGAGAAGAGUACCGACAGACAUGCAUAUAGAACUGGCUGGAUGACGAGGUUGCUUCAGUCGGUGAGGAUGAGAUCAUCCAUGCAGACAAAACCUAGGAACCGGAAGCAGGGAGGAGGACCGACAGAUGAACAGAUGACCUGCUUGCUGGGCUUCACAUUACUGAUUCUUGAGAAAAGGAGUACCGACAUACAUGCAUAGAACUGGCUGGAUGACGAAGCUGCUUCAGUCCGUGAGGAUGAGAUCAUCCAUGCAGACAAAACCUAGGAACCGGAAGCAGGGAGGAGGACCGACAGAUGAACGGAUGACCUGCUUGCUGGGCUUUCCAUUACUGAUUCUUGAGAAAGGGAGCAUGGAUGACGAGUCUGCUUCAGUCGGUGUGGAUGAGAGGAUAAGACCCCAAUUUCAAAAACAUCAUCCAUGCAGACAAAACCUAGGAACCAGAAGCAGGGAGGAGGACCGACAGAUGAACUGAUGCCCUGCUUGCUGGGCUUCCCAUUACUGAUUCUU